rnacentral:rRNA from 1 species
UACGAAGGAUCCAAGCGUUGUCCGGAUUUAUUGGGCGUAAAGGGUGCGUAGGCGGCGGAGUAAGUUGGGUGUGAAAUCCCGGGGCUCAACCUCGGAAUGGCAUUCAAUACUGCUUCGCUAGAGUACUGGAGAGGAGGCUGGAAUUUACGGUGUAGCAGUGAAAUGCGUAGAUAUCGUAAGGAAGGCCGGUGGCGAAAGCGAGCCUCUGGACAGUUACUGACGCUGAUGCACGAAGGCCAGGGGAGCAAACGGG